UCGAAAUGGGGAAAAUCUGUUGUGCGAUAGACUGCACUAAUAGAUUAACAAGAAUUCGGAGCUAUCGUGCCAAAAUCACUGAAAGGAGAAGUAAACAGAUCGUUCAUUCCAACGUCCACAGACCACAGGAGAAGAUGGAUCCAUUACUGCCCAAGCAGUGUGCUAAAAAAUAGGCAACAAUGUCUUCUUAGGGCAACAAAGGAGGCCAAAGCACUGGCAAAUCAAAACACAUGCUUCAAAAAGUCAACAGUCGAGGACCAAAACAUGGCUUGUGAGGAAGCUAAAAAGAGAUGUCGACACUUCACCUCGACUCCAUCAGAGAAGCAGUAUCUCGGCCAGCUUCAUUUGACCUUUGGAAAAUACAAUGGCCAAAGCUUUAAAUGGCUGUUCGAGAAUGAUGUUGGCUACAUUAAGUAUAUCAUUGAUCUGCAUGUAAAAGAAUGCUGUCAUCCUGAAAAAAAGACACAUUAAUGACCGGUGGGUGAAGGACCUUCUCCUGAGUUAUGUGCAGCUGUUCCCUCCGGUCUCCUGCCACCUCAAGGGCAACGUGGAC